rnacentral:rRNA from 1 species
AACGAACGCUGGCGGCGUGGAUAAGACAUGCAAGUCGAACGCUUAUUCUCGGGUAGCAAUAUUCGAGAGUAGGAGUGGCGCAAGGGUGCGUAACACGUGGAUCAUCUACCGAGAAGUUCUGAAUAAUCCCGAGAAAUCGGGACUAAUGCGGGAUGUGGCCGGAAGGCUAAAGCUGGGGACCGUAAGGCCUGGCGCUUCUUGAUGAGUCCGCGGCCUAUCAGCUAGUUGGCGGGGUAACGGCCCACCAAGGCUAAGACGGGUAGCUGGUCUGAGAGGACGACCAGCCUCACUGGAACUGAGACACGGUCCAGACACCUACGGGUGGCAGCAGUCGAGAAUUUUUUCUCAAUGGGGGAAACCCUGAAGGAGCGACGCCGUGUGGGGGAUGAAGGGCUUCGGGCCCGUAAACCCUGUCAUUUGCGAACAAACGUCAUGGUUGAACAUUCCAUGACUUGAUUUGUAGCGAAAAGAGGAAGGGACGGCUAAACUCUGUGCCAGCAGCCGCCGCCGUAAU